rnacentral:rRNA from 1 species
UACGGAGGGUGCAAGCGUUGCUCGGAAUUACUGGGCGUAAAGCGUACGCAGGCUGUUCGUUAAGUCGGGUGUGAAAUCCCGGGGCUCAACCCCGGAAUUGCGCCCGAAACUGACGAGCUUGAGUGCGGGAGAGGGAAGCGGAAUUCCUGGUGUAGAGGUGAAAUUCGUAGAUAUCAGGAGGAACACCGGUGGCGAAGGCGGCGACCUGGGGUAGAUACUGACGCUGAGGUGCGAAAGCGUGGGGAGCAAACAGG